rnacentral:rRNA from 1 species
AUUGAACGCUGGCGGCAUGCCUCACACAUGCAAGUCGAACGGUAACAGGGAGCUUGCUCCGCUGACGAGUGGCGAACGGGUGAGUAAUGUAUCGGAACGUACCAUAGAGUGGGGGAUAACUAUCCGAAAGGAUAGCUAAUACCGCAUAUUCUCUCCGGAGGAAAGCAGGGGACCGCAAGGCCUUGCGCUCUUUGAGCGGCCGAUAUCAGAUUAGCUAGUUGGUGAGGUAAAGGCUCACCAAGGCGACGAUCUGUAGCGGGUCUGAGAGGAUGAUCCGCCACACUGGAACUGAGACACGGCCCAGACUCCUACGGGAGGCAGCAGUGGGGAAUUUUGGACAAUGGGCAGAAGCCUGAUCCAGCCAUGCCGCGUGAGUGAAGAAGGCCUCGG